rnacentral:rRNA from 1 species
CAGUCGCCACGGUAAUACGGAGGGAGCUAGCGUUGUUCGGAAUUACUGGGCGUAAAGCGCGCGUAGGCGGUUACUCAAGUCAGAGGUGAAAGCCCGGGGCUCAACCCCGGAACUGCCUUUGAAACUAGGUGACUAGAAUCUUGGAGAGGUCAGUGGAAUUCCGAGUGUAGAGGUGAAAUUCGUAGAUAUUCGGAAGAACACCAGUGGCGAAGGCGACUGACUGGACAAGUAUUGACGCUGAGGUGCGAAAGCGUGGGGAGCAAUCAGGAUUAGAUACCCCUGUAGUCCCUGUCUCUUAUCC